rnacentral:rRNA from 2 species
AGCUUGCUCCCUGAGAUUAGCGGCGGACGGGUGAGUAACACGUGGGCAACCUGCCUAUAAGACUGGGAUAACUUCGGGAAACCGGAGCUAAUACCGGAUACGUUCUUUUCUCGCAUGAGAGAAGAUGGAAAGACGGUUUACGCUGUCACUUAUAGAUGGGCCCGCGGCGCAUUAGCUAGUUGGUGAGGUAAUGGCUCACCAAGGCGACGAUGCGUAGCCGACCUGAGAGGGUGAUCGGCCACACUGGGACUGAGACACGGCCCAGACUCCUACGGGAGGCAGCAGUAGGGAAUCUUCCGCAAUGGACGAAAGUCUGACGGAGCAACGCCGCGUGAACGAAGAAGGCCUUCGGGUCGUAAAGUUCUGUUGUUAGGGAAGAACAAGUACCAGAGUAACUGCUGGUACCUUGACGGUACCUAACCAGAAAGCCACGGCUAACUACGUGCCAGCAGCCGCGGUAAUACGUAGGUGGCAAGCGUUGUCCGGAAUUAUUGGGCGUAAAGCGCGCGCAGGUGGUUCC